CACAGCUCUCUGAUUGACACUUACACCUCCCAGGACAGUGCUGACUGGAAGGUUGGCCUAAAUUUAGAGAAGUCUGUGGCUGCUAGCCUGGAUGUGGGAGGAACGCAAUCCACUGCCUAUAACUUUGCUUCAGAAAGGACAAAAGAGGACCGCCACACCUUCAGCACACACAGGGUCACCUGCAACCAUUACAGUUACCGAGUAUCAGACAGAACGCCUCUCAGCUCUGAGUUCAGCUCGGCUGUAGCUAAGCUACCAGGUUUCUACAACAGCUCCACCAGAGCUCAGUACAGUCAGCUCAUACACACCUAUGGCACGCACUACAUCCGCCAGGUUAACCUUGGUGGUCGACUGAGGCGAGUCACAGCUGCACGAACCUGUCUGUCCUCCCUGAAUGGACUCACCUCAAAUGAGGUCCACUCCUGUUUGUCGCUGGGUUUCUCUGUCGGCUUGGGAAAGUUGCAACUAUCUGGUAACAGAGACUCUUGCAACAAGGUCUUACAAAACCA